rnacentral:rRNA from 1 species
CCUCAUGGACAUACUACCUUGAAUAUGAUAGUCUCCUCUGACCUUGGAAGCUAAGCAGGGUUGGGCCUGGUUAGUAUUUGCAUGGGAGAAUAUUCAGGAUAGUAAAGG